GUAGGUGGCAAGCGUUGUCCGGAAUUAUUGGGGCGUAAAGCGCGCGCAGGCGGUUCUUUAAGUCUGAUGAGAAAGCCCACGGGCUCAACCGUGGAGGGUCAUUGGAAACUGGAGAACUUGAGUACAGAAGAGGAAAGCGGAAUUCCACGUGUAGCGGUGAAAUGCGUAGAGAUGUGGAGGAACACCAGUGGCGAAGGCGGCUUUCUGGUCUGUAACUGACGCUGAGGCGCGAAAGCGUGGGGAGCAAACAGGAUUAGAUACCCUGGUAGUCCACGCCGUAAACGAUGAGUGCUAAGUGUUAGGGGGUUUCCGCCCCUUAGUGCUGCAGCUAACGCAUUAAGCACUCCGCCUGGGGAGUACGGCCGCAAAGGCUG
rnacentral:rRNA from 1 species